GCAAGGAAAUUUUAUGGGAAAAAAGGAAUUUUGGAGAUUGUAAAAGGAUAUUUGAACAAGCAGUUGUGGAAGCACUGAAUACAGUACUCGUAUCCAGUAAACUCCAAUAGUUAACCUGCACCGUAGCACGAGAACGAACGAAUAUGCAGGUAUGCAAAUGUGCUUUGGUCAAAAGCUGAAAUCUGAUUGGAUUGCAUAAUUAAUCUCGUACGUAUCGGACAAGUAGAGACGAGAGCGAACGAAUACGUAAUUAAUAAAACAAGAGUUAAUUUGCAUGAUCUUGAGUGAUGACAUUUUUUACAAAUUGAAAAGCCCAAAG